UCCUCGUUCAAAGGAUCGCAGUCGAAGCACACAAACGGAGCAGACCUCGUGUCUCUCAGCCCUCCAUGGGCUAGUCAAUGCUUUGGGAGAAAGUCCCCGGACGACCUUUUUACCUCGUUGUAAAAAGGAACGCGGAAACGCGCCGCCAUAGAAGCACUGCGGCUUCUUUUAUUUCUCCGCUCCUUCUCUUCUCGGGUCGACCUUCGUUCGCUGCUUGUACUCGCUUUCUGCGCAUUUGAUUGCUGCUGCUGGGGGAGGGGGAGACCAUAUGGAUGAAGAUAUGAGUCCGAGCUCUCCUGAUCCUGGCUGCGGUAGAGCAUAUGCAACGACUGCGGGGAGGCGGGGAAGUUCCCUCGAUCUGGGUUGGGGCUUAUGGGAGGGGGGAGGCUUUCGUCGAGAGUGAUAGUUAUGCGAUUGCUCCCUUGGCCUGCCUCACGGUUGGUCCGGGGGGUAACUCGAUGGGGCUUAUUCUUGAGACGAGG
rnacentral:RNase_MRP_RNA from 2 species